AGAGUUUGAUCCUGGCUCAGGAUGAACGCUAGCUACAGGCUUAACACAUGCAAGUCGAGGGGCAGCAUGGGAUUAGCUUGCUAAUCCUGAUGGCGACCGGCGCACGGGUGCGUAACGCGUAUCCAACCUGCCCUCUACUCCGGAACAGCCCGUCGAAAGGCGGAUUAAUGCCGGAUGGUGUCACAUGCCCGCAUGAGUGUGUGACUAAAGGCAACGGUAGAGGAUGGGGAUGCGACUGAUUAGCUAGUUGGCGGGGUAACGGCCCACCAAGGCUACGAUCAGUAGGGGUUCUGAGAGGAAGGUCCCCCACAUUGGAACUGAGACACGGUCCAAACUCCUACGGGAGGCAGCAGUGAGGAAUAUUGGUCAAUGGGCGAGAGCCUGAACCAGCCAAGUAGCGUGAAGGACGACGGCCCUACGGGUUGUAAACUUCUUUUAUAAGGGAAUAAAGUUCGCCACGUGUGGUGUUUUGUAUGUACCUUAUGAAUAAGCAUCGGCUAAUUCCGUGCCAGCAGCCGCGGUAAUACGGAAGAUGCGAGCGUUAUCCGGAUUUAUUGGGUUUAAAGGGAGCGUAGGCGGGCUGUUAAGUCAGCGGUCAAAUGUCAGGGCCCAACCUUGGCAUGCCGUUGAUACUGGUGGCCUUGAGUUCACACAAGGAAGGUGGAAUUCGUCGUGUAGCGGUGAAAUGCUUAGAUAUGACGAAGAACUCCGAUUGCGAAGGCAGCCUUCUGGGGUGUUACUGACGCUGAGGCUCGAAAGUGCGGGAAUCAAACAGGAUUAGAUACCCUGGUAGUCCGCACCGUAAACGAUGAGCGCCCGUCAUUGGCGACACACAGUCAGUGACCAAGGGAAACCGUUAAGCGCUCCACCUGGGGAGUACGCCGGCAACGGUGAAACUCAAAGGAAUUGACGGGGGCCC
rnacentral:rRNA from 1 species